GGGGCUGCGGGCAACAGGAAAGGGAGAUGCAGAGCUGAGCAGUCAUAACCCCAAAGGGGCAUCUUCCUCCUCUGAGAAACACCCAUGCCCCAAUCUUCAGUAGAAAAGAUCCCACCUGGAGUUCUUCAGGCUUUUUGUUUUCUUUAGGUAGUGAGGACAGGGAAAGAAAGAUGACAAAGCCCAAAAAAACAAGCUUCCUGCUCUCAGUGCAGGUUUUCACUGAGCACCUACUGUGUGCCCAACCCUGUGCUAAGCUCUUUAUGUGCUUCGACUCAUUGAAUCACCGUAACAGCUCCACAAGCUAGGAACAAGCAUGACCCUCACCGUUCAGACAAGAACCUGGAGCUGCAGAGCUGGGACUCUGACACAGAAAAAGUUUGCCGAUUCCUGCACUACAGUGAAACAGAAGGGUGAGUAGAGAGAAUUUGAUAAGUGAUCAGUUCAUUGUGAAGAUUUUCAUGUGAUUCUCUGGUUUCCCUGUGCAACUCUAACUGUGAAGAUUCCAGACAACAUGCCCAGAAAGCCAGAACCCCCCUGUGCUACAUGUCCAGUGGAAAAAAUUUAAGGGAUUUAUCCUACAGAUGGAUUCCUAAGCAUGCAAAAUGACAUAAGCACAAAGUCAUUUAAUUUAUUACAGCAACAGUCUGUGAACCACCGAAACAUCCAGAUAAAGGAGCAGUUAAAUAAAUUAAGGUCACACGAAGGCAUAAAUGCCAUGUAGGCAUAAAAAA